GGUAGUCUCAGAGAGUUGAUCCUGGCUCAGAACGAACGCUGGCGGCAGGUCUUAGGCAUGCAAGUCGAACGGAUGACAGAGAGCUUGCUCUCUGAAGUCAGUGGCGCACGAGUGAGUAACGCGUGGGAAACUGCCCUUCACUGGGGAAUAACGUUUGGAAACGAACGCUAAUACCGCAUACGCCCGCAAGGGGAAAGAUUUAUCGGUGAUGGAUGUGCCCGCGUUGGAUUAGCUAGUUGGUGGGGUAAUAGCCUACCAAGGCGAUGAUCCAUAGCUGGUCUGAGAGGACGAUCAGCCACGCUGGAACUGAGACACGGUCCAGACUCCUACGGGAGGCAGCAGCUAAGAAUAUUGGGCAAUGGAGGAAACUCUGACCCAGCCAUGCCGCGUGAAUGAAGAAGGCCUUCGGGUUGUAAAGUUCUUUUAGUCAUGAAGAUGAUGACAGUAGUGACAGAAAAAGCACCGGCUAACUUCGUGCCAGCAGCUGC
rnacentral:rRNA from 1 species